GACGAACGCUGGCGGCGUGCCUAAUACAUGCAAGUAGAACGCACAGUUUAUACCGUAGCUUGCUACACCAUAAACUGUGAGUUGCGAACGGGUGAGUAACGCGUAGGUAACCUGCCUGGUAGCGGGGGAUAACUAUUGGAAACGAUAGCUAAUACCGCAUAAUAUUAAUUAUUGCAUGAUAAUUGAUUGAAAGAUGCAAUUGCAUCACUACCAGAUGGACCUGCGUUGUAUUAGCUAGUAGGUGAGGUAACGGCUCACCUAGGCGACGAUACAUAGCCGACCUGAGAGGGUGAUCGGCCACACUGGGACUGAGGCACGGCCCAGACUCCUACGGGAGGCAGCAGUAGGGAAUCUUCGGCAAUGGACGAAAGUCUGACCGAGCAACGCCGCGUGAGUGAAGAAGGUUUUCGGAUCGUAAAGCUCUGUUGUAAGAGAAGAACGGGUGUGAGAGUGGAAAGUUCACACUGUGACGGUAUCUUACCAGAAAGGGGCGGCUAACUACGUG
rnacentral:rRNA from 1 species